rnacentral:rRNA from 1 species
GAUGAACGCUGGCGGCGUGCCUAAUACAUGCAAGUCGAGCGAACGGACGAGAAGCUUGCUUCUCUGAUGUUAGCGGCGGACGGGUGAGUAACACGUGGAUAACCUACCUAUAAGACUGGGAUAACUUCGGGAAACCGGAGCUAAUACCGGAUGAUAUUUUGAACCGCAUGGUUCAAAAGUGAAAGACGGUUUUGCUGUCACUUAUAGAUGGAUCCGCGCUGCAUUAGCUAGUUGGUAAGGUAACGGCUUACCAAGGCAACGAUGCAUAGCCGACCUGAGAGGGUGAUCGGCCACACUGGAACUGAGACACGGUCCAGACUCCUACGGGAGGCAGCAGUAGGGAAUCUUCCGCAAUGGGCGAAAGCCUGACGGAGCAACGCCGCGUGAGUGAUGAAGGUCUUCGGAUCGUAAAACUCUGUUAUUAGGGAAGAACAAAUGUGUAAGUAACUGUGCACAUCUUGACGGUACCUAAUCAGAAAGCCACGGCUAACUACGUG